rnacentral:lncRNA from 1 species
AGAAAGCUUUGCGCGGGGGCGGAGGCGGCAGGGAUGCGAUGGCGGAGUCGCUGCCCCUGGAGGAUGGUCGCUCCAUCCCCAGGAGAUGGCUGCCCCCUUCCCCUGGCGGUGGGAGACAGAAUGCCCUCUCCCCAGCAACUCCGUGCCUGGUCUUUGAGUUCGUUCACGGAGUACAGGCCUGCUCCCUACUUCUUCGUCCCCUGAAAUGGCCACCCCUACCUGCUUCAUCCCAUGGGAUGUUUGCUCUUUCUUCUUAACCUGGAGCAAGACCACUCUGCUGUCACUGGUGAGAGAGAAAUAACAGGUUUUGUCCCCAGUGGCCUCUUAGGAUGGCCUCUCUCUCUCUUUCGCCCUCAGAAUUGGCAGCCCCCUCCUGCUGCGAACGGGAGAUAGGCCACUCUUUCCCCAUAGACCCUGAAAUGGUGCAAGAAUAGGACUGCUCCCACCCUAUUGAGCCUCCUGUAAUGACAUCUUUUUUCCCCUUGACCUCAGAGAGGAUAUUCUUUCCAUCCCCAUAGACCGCAGGGAUGACAGUCAUAUCUCUAGUAGCCCCUUGGGAUGGGGUUCAUGGGAUGGCCUGAGAAGGGCCACCCCCCUUCUCAGCUCAAAGAAUCGUGCUCCCUCCCAUCAGUGAGGACAGGUUUAUUACCCUCCCUUUGCUCCUUGGGUUGGCUGCUCUGUCCCAGAAGACAGGAUGAGCACUAUCUUAACUUGGCUCAAACAGGGUUUCCUGUUUCCCCCUGGGGAUGGGAGCUUGGUCAGUCCCAGUCUUCAUCAGCGUUCUCUCCUUGGCCCAGAAGGCUGUUCUCCCUAGUCAUUCUCCUCUCAAUAAUGAUCUGCUUUAACUCCCCACCCCUUCCCUGAACAAACCUUUGGUGAAAAUAGAGGUAGAGAACCAUCUAUCCUUAAUUCAAUCCAGUAAGUAUUGGCUGAGCACCUUGUGUGUGCUAGGGAUCAGAGAAGGGAAGAAGUCAGAAUGGGCUGAUGAGGUCAAGCUUAAGGGUGAUAUUCCAGGGAAGAGGCCCACAUAGGCAAAAGGAAAUAGACAUACUGUGUUUGUAGGACAGUGGGAAGAUUGGAUUGGGGAAUUUCUGGGAUCAGGAGUCCAGUCAGGCAUGGAGGCUAGCAGUGCUGACCCAAGAAUGGAGAUUUUGUCCUGAGGAUAAUGGGGAACCUUGUAGGUUUUCAUCAGGGGUGUGCUAAGACUGAAAGCUGUUUGUUUAGGGAAAUUAACUUUGUGACAGUAGUGCAGAAUGACUGGCAAGGAUGAGCCUGGAGGCAGGGAGGUCAGGUGGGAGAUUGUGGAAGGAAUCCAGGUCUGGGGUGAUGAAGAUCUUCGCUACUAAGGUGGUAAAGUUUCAAAGGUAGAAAUACUAGUAACAACAAUGCAGCAACCACUUAUGGAAUGUCGAUUAGGUGUUAAUCCCAUCAUAGCUAUUAAAUAUAUAUAUGUACACAUAAAUAAUAUAUAUGUAUAUAUAAUUGAAUCCCUAUAAGACUAUGAUGUAGAUUUUUAAUAUCUGCAUUUUACAGAUAUGGAAACUGAGGCUCAGAGAGGUCUAGUACCUUGCUUGAGGUCACACAGUUAGGAAGUAGUGGAGCUGGAAUUUGAAAGUUUCUAAAUUAAGCUGGCCUAAAGCCUAUGCUUUACACCUGUAUCUGAGAGCAAGCGACAAGAGCAGGAAGAGUGCAAAGUAUUAUGAGCUUCAGGUGGUAUACACUGUUAGCAUGGAAGCUCCGGUGCUGGAAAGUUAGGAGGAGGAGCUGCUUUGGACUGAGGACAGAAUGUGAAUUUUGGUUGAGAUUAAGGUGAUAGUAAAACAUUUGGAUGAAGGAUCCUGUGGACAGUUGGCAAUACUGGACUAGCACUUGGAUGAUAGGACAAUGUGAGGAUAUUGAAUUGUUGGUUAUUCCUGUAGAGGUAAGUGUUGAAGCCAUGCAAAUGAAUUUAUUACCCUAGGAAGUAAACAGAUCAAAAGACCCAGGUCAGAGCCCUGGGAGCCAGAGAAGAAUCCAGAAACAGCAGUUGGAGUGCUGAGUGGAGCCCUAGAAAAUAGAGUGUAACAGGAGUCAAGGAGGGAAGAUUCCAGAAAAAAAGAAUAGUUAAUAUAGGGGCCUGCCCCAUGGCCAAGUGUUACAUUCCUGUGCUCUGCUUCAAAGCCUGGGGUUCGCAGGUUCAGAUCCUGGGCGUGGACCUAUACACUGCUCGUCAAGCAAUGCUGUGGUGGUAUCCCACAUAGAGGAACUAGAAUGACCUACAAUUAGGAUAUACAACUAUGUCCUGGGGCUUUAGGGAGAAAAAAAAAAAGAGGAAGAUUGGCAACAGAGGUUAGCUCAGUGCCAAUCUUCCUCACCAAAAAGCAUUAAAAAAAAAAGAAUAGUUAAUAUAGGAUCACUCCUGGCCUCAUAGGCAACAACCUUUCCAGACCCCUAUAGGGCCUCCAAUCUCACCACUCCAGCCUCACAAAACUUAGGUAGAGUGAGGGCCUGAGCCUCCCAGGCUGGAUCUUGCUGAGCCAGCUGAGAAGGCGAGUUGGCAGUGGAGAAGAUAGGAAAAGAGUGGGAUCCCAGAGCCCGAACUGUGAGGGCAGGAGGAAGGGAUGUGGCUUCCUGAAGAUCACGGGAGGAGCACCUGACUUGCUGUGUUCUAGAACCUAUGCAAGACACUAUACUAUGUUAUUUAAUUCUCACAAUAACACAUUUAAAUCUCACUACAAUUGCCAUUUUACGGAUAAGGAAAACAAAGCUCAGAGAGGUCAGUUAAUAGAGUAAGGAUUUGAACUAAGUUUAUUUGGUCCCAGUGCCCAGCGUCUUUUUGCCAAGCAGCAGGAAGUUUGAUUUUUUUUUUUAAAGAUUUUAUUUUUCCUUUUUCUCCAAAAGCCCCCCGGUACAUAGUUGUGUAUUUUUAUUUGUGGGUCCUUCUAGUUCUGGCAUGUGGGAUGCUGCCUCAGCAUGGCCUGAUGAGCAGUGCCAUGUCUACGCCCAGGAUUCGAACCGGCAAAACCCUGGGCUGCUGAAGCAGAGCGCGCAAACUUAACCACUCGGCCAGGGGGCCGGCCCCAGAAGUUUGAUUUUUAUCACUCAGUACAAACCUGGAUCCAGAUAGGGCUCAGGAAGGGUUUGUUCACAGUAAAGAUACCUGGAGGCUGGAGAGGGGAAGUGAAAACUCUGUAAAACUUAGGACCUAAGAUGAACUAGAAGCCAGGGCUCUAGUCCCCUUGGACUACUGUAACAUCAGCUGGAGUAGUUUCCAAAGGCCUCGCAACUCUUUUUUUUUUUGAGGAAGAUUAUCCCUGAGCUAACGUCUGCUGCCAAUCCUCCUCUUUUUGCUGAGGAAGACUGGCCCUAAGCUAACAUCCAUUCCCAUCUUCCUCUACUUUAUAUGUGGGAUGCCUACCACAGCAUGGCUUGCCAAACCGUGACAUGUCCACACCCGGGAUCUGAACUGGCGAACCCCAGGCCGCUGAAGUGGAACAUGGGCACUUAACUGCUGCACGACCGGGCCGGCCCCAUGGGCCUCCCAACUCUUAACAGCCCCCAGUGCCCUGUCUUUUUCCCUCAGAUACUCACAUAUAUUCUGAGCUUCCUGCCUCUGUCAGAUUAGAAAAGAGGCCUCCCUCAUGGGUCGGGCUUGGUACUGUGCAGCCCAGAAUGCCCUUCAGGAGGUAAGGUGCCCCUCCUCAGCUGGCCCAUUUUCAGUUGUCUCUCACUUCAUCCUGCUCAUGGCUCUGCUUCUACAUCAUCCAUCUGUUCGUGCAUGCAUACAUAUUCAUACAGUGCUGGGACUAUACAGAUGACUAAGACAUGGUCCCCUCCCCCGAGGAGCUCAUAGUCCAGUGAAGGGGAAAGACAAGUAUGUGAGUGAUCAUGAUAUUGUGUGCUCAGUGCUGCAACAGUGGAAUGAGGUGCAACUGGAACAUGAAGAAGGACAUCCAGAGGAGACGGGCAGCAUCAGGGAAGGCUUCCUGAAGGAAUAGGAUAAGGAUGAAGGUUGGUCUUCCAGGGCUGGUAACAGCACAGAUGAAGGCACCAAGGUGUGAAAUAGUUCUGGAAACCACCACAGAAGUUCCAUAUGACUGGAACUUAGAUGCGUGUGGGAGAAGUGCUGGAAGAUGAGGCUAGAAAGGGGUCAGACUGCAAGCUGGCAGGUGUGCCAGGCAAUGUUAGUGGGGCUUCCUCUUGAUUUCCCUCAUGGAGCCUGUAAAAGAAUGUUAAGUCAGGGGAGUGACACAGUGUGAUUUGUGUCUUAGAACUGCAGUGCAGAGUGGACUGGAGAGGGCAAGUCAGAGUGUAGGGAGACAGCCCGGCUAGGAGGUGAAUGCAGACGUCUGUGCUAGUUUGCAAAGCAAGCAAUGAUAACUCUUUGUUUAAUUUUGAUUUCUUUGUUAUACUGGGGUUGAACAGUUUUUCUCAUUAGCUGACCGUUUAUAUUUGCCUCUUUUGUUUAUUCAUGUUCUUUAUCCAUUUAACUACUGGGG